ACCCCUAAACUAUUUCCGGCAACUAUUAUCAACCUGUUCCUCGUUCCUUACGUCUUCCCUGUUUUCUCCCUGCUGCUCGGCAACUACUCCAAUGGACCACCGGAGGGCUCGGGGUGGUCGCUGGUCCGCCCGGUAGUUGUUCGAUGAAUUGCCGCAAUGGUGCUGCACGGCACAUGUUCGACUAAACGCCUCUUGAAGACGCGUUCAAGCUGUUAGCCUGGUUGCAUGUUGUCUCGUGGAGUGCGGUCUGGUGGCUCUUGGCUACGAUGGCCCGAACUAGAUACGUGGCUGGUGUUUCAGUGCUGGAUGCCAGGUAUGUCUCUGGCCAAGUGUUUCACUGUUUGUCCUCUUCUAUACAUGUAUUGCCCAUUGUGGGGGUUGCUUGACCAUGUACGCGUUGAGUGUCUUAGUUACAAGGGAAGAUUAGACUCCAGAUUACACUAUUGCAAUUGGCCUCAAAGGUACUGGAAAUGGAAGUGAACUAGAGCAAAUAGUUCUAGUACUUAUAUGAACAACCGAACGGGAAACAAAUAACAAGGAGCACUAAUUAUGUGGAAAA